rnacentral:misc_RNA from 1 species
AACGCACCUUGCGCUCCUUGGUAUUCCGAGGAGCAUGCCUGUUUGAGUGUCAUUAAAUUCUCAACCUCUCCAGCUUUUUUUUUGGCUGGGCAGAGGAUUGGAUGUGGGGGUUGUUGCUGGCUUCGUCCAAAGAGGCCGGCUCCCCUUAAAUGCAUUAGCGGGAACGUCUUGCGGACCGUCACUUGGUGUGAUAAUUAUCUACGCCUAAUGACUGUGAUGCUCUUGUUCUGCUUCUAACCGUCCGCUGACUUGGACAAGCUUCUUUGACAAUUUGACCUCAAAUCAGGUAGGACUACCCGCUGAACUUAA